AAAGAUACAGGUACACAUAAGUGGAAGUCUCCAGAGAAGUGUUGAUGGAUUGCAAUGUUACAGAAGCAUCAACAUUCUGAGAUUUAAGUUAUAAUUCUUCUGGUUUGUUUCCAAGGAUCACCAAAUGCCCUUGAGUUCCUCCCAGCAAAAUACGGAAUUUCUGGAUAGUAACAUCUGAAGAUCUGAUGGCACAGAAGAAACAGCAGCUUCUCAUCUUAAGAUGCUAAGAGGAAGAACACAGGGAUUCUAAGCCUAUAGCAGCAAUACCCAAGAGGCAUCCAGUACAAUCUUCCUUCAACACAGAUUAAUGAAUGCCUGCAUGACCAAGUGACUCACAAAACUAAAAAUCGACCCUGUAGAGUAGGUGUCAAUAUCUCUGUUUAGCUACUCCUAUAAAUAAAAUAAAUAUGAAUGUGUGCUUAUUAUGUGUA
rnacentral:lncRNA from 13 species